rnacentral:rRNA from 1 species
CAUGUAGGCGGUCUUUUAAGUCGGUUGUGAAAUCCCUUGGCUUAACCAAGGAACUGCAACCGAUACUGAGAGACAUGAGUGCAGGAGAGGAAAGCGGAAUUCCCGGUGUAAGAGUGAAAUCUGUAGAGAUCGGGAGGAACACCAGUGGCGAAGGCGGCUUUCUGGUCUGCAACUGACGCUGAAAUGCGAAAGCUAGGGGAGCAAACAGGAUUAGAUACCCUGGUAGUCC